GCUGGGUGUGGUGGCACAUGCCUGUAAUCCCAGUGGCUUGGGAGGCUGAGGCAGGAAGAUUGUGAGUUCAAAGCCAGCCUCAGCAACUUAGGCUCUAAGCAAUUCAGCAAGACCCUGUCUCUA
rnacentral:sRNA from 1 species